rnacentral:tRNA from 1 species
GCGCCAGUAGCUCCAACUGGACUAGAGCGACCGCCUUGUAAGCGAUUGGUUGGGGGUUCAAAUCCCUCUUGGCGCGCCA